rnacentral:lncRNA from 1 species
GCCUCCGUGUGCCAAAAUAGGCCACGGGCACACCCGCGCCCAAAAAUCAGCCCCCGAAGGUCGGGGCGCCAAGACCCCCCAGCGGAAAAAUGGCCAAAAAACGGGUGGGCUAUAGCCUUGGUGGGGGGCGUGGGCGAAGUUCGUCCGCCGGACUCGGAAUGGCCCCAGACUUUGCGGGCGGCCUCCGUGUGCCAAAAAUAGGCCACGGGCACACCCGCGCCCAAAAAUCAGCCCCCGAAGGUCGGGGCGCCAAGACCCCCCAGCGGAAAAAUGGCCAAAAAACGGGUGGGCUAUAGCCUUGGUGGGGGGCGUGGGCGAAGUUCGUCCGCCGGACUCGGAAUGGCCCCAGACUUUGCGGGCGGCCUCCGUGUGCCAAAAAUAGGCCACGGGCACACCCGCGCCCAAAAAUCAGCCCCCGAAGGUCGGGGCGCCAAGACCCCCCAGCGGAAAAAUGGCCAAAAAAUGGGUGGGCUAUAGCCUUGGUGGGGGACGUGGGCGAAGUUCGUCCGCCGGACUCGGAAUGGCCCCAGACUUUGCGGGCGGCCUCCGUGUGCCAAAAAUAGGCCACGGGCACACCCGCGCCCAAAAUUAAGCCCCCGAAGGUCGGGGCGCCAAGACCCCCCAGCGGAAAAAUGGCCAAAAAACGGGUGGGCUAUAGCCUUGGUGGGGGGCGUGGGCGAAGUUCGUCCGCCGGACUCGGAAUGGCCCCAGACUUUGCGGGCGGCCUCCGUGUGCCAAAAAUAGGCCACGGGCACACCCGCGCCCAAAAUUCAGCCCCCGAAGGUCGGGGCGCCAAGACCCCCCAGCGGAAAAAUGGCCAAAAAACGGGUGGGCUAUUGCCUUGGUGGGGGGCGUGGGCGAAGUUCGUCCGCCGGACUCGGAAUGGCCCCAGACUUUGCGGGCGGCCUCCGUGUGCCAAAAAUAGGCCACGGGCACACCCGCGCCCAAAAUUCAGCCCCCGAAGGUCGGGGCGCCAAGACCCCCCAGCGGAAAAAUGGCCAAAAAACGGGUGGGCUAUAGCCUUGGUGGGGGGAGUGGGCGAAGUUCGUCCGCCGGACUCGCAAUGGCCCCAGACUUUGCGGGCGGCCUCCGUGUGCCAAAAUUAGGCCACGGGCACACCCGCGCCCAAAAAUCAGCCCCCGAGGGUCGGGGCGCCAAGACCCCCCAGCGGAAAAAUGGCCAGAAAACUGGUGGGCUAUAGCCUUGGUGGGGGGCGUGGGCGAAGUUCGUCCGCCGGACUCGGAAUGGCCCCAGACUUUGCGGGCGGCCUCCGUGUGCCAAAAAUAGGCCACGGGCACACCCGCGCCCAAAAAUCAGCCCCCGAAGGUCGGGGCGCCAAGACCCCCCAGCGGAAAAAUGGCCAAAAAAUGGGUGGGCUAUAGCCUUGGUGGGGGACGUGGGCGAAGUUCGUCCGCCGGACUCGGAAUGGCCCCAGACUUUGCGGGCGGCCUCCGUGUGCCAAAAAUAGGCCACGGGCACACCCGCGCCCAAAAUUAAGCCCCCGAAGGUCGGGGCGCCAAGACCCCCCCGCGGAAAAAUGGCCAAAAAACGGGUGGGCUAUAGCCUUGGUGGGGGGCGUGGGCGAAGCUCGUCCGCCGGACACGGAAUGGCCCCAGACUUUGCGGGCGGCCUCCGUGUGCCAAAAAUAGGCCACGGGCACACCCGCGCCCAAAAUUCAGCCCCCGAAGGUCGGGGCGCCAAGACCCCCCAGCGGAAAAAUGGCCAAAAAACGGGUGGGCUAUAGCCUUGGUGGGGGGCGUGGGCGAAGUUCGUCCGCCGGACUCGGAAUGGCCCCAGACUUUGCGGGCAGCCUCCGUGUGCAAAAAAUAGGCCACGGGCACACCCGCGCCCAAAAAUCAGCCCCCGAAGGUCGGGGCGCCAAGACCCCCCAGCGGAAAAAUGGCCAAAAAACGGGUGGGCUAUAGCCUUGGUGGGGGGCGUGGGCGAAGUUCGUCCGCCGGACUCGCAAUGGCCCCAGACUUUGCGGGCGGCCUCCGUGUGCCAAAAAUAGGCCACGGGCACACCCGCGCGCAAAAUUCAGCCCCCGAAGGUCGGGGCGCCAAGACCCCCCAGCGGAAAAAUGGCCAAAAAACGGGUGGGCUAUAGCCUUGGUGGGGGGCGUGGGCGAAGUUCGUCCGCCGGACUCGGAAUGGCCCCAGACUUUGCGGGCGGCCUCCGUGUGCCAAAAAUAGGCCACGGGCACACCCGCGCCCAAAAUUCAGCCCCCGAAGGUCGGGGCGCCAAGACCCCCCAGCGGAAAAAUGGCCAAAAAACGGGUGGGCUAUAGCCUUGGUGGGGGGCGUGGGCGAAGUUCGUCCGCCGGACUCGGAAUGGCCCCAGACUUUGCGGGCGGCCUCCGUGUGCCAAAAAUAGGCCACGGGCACACCCGCGCCCAAAAAUCAGCCCCCGAAGGUCGGGGCGCCAAGACCCCCCAGCGGAAAAAUGGCCAAAAAACGGGUGGGCUAUAGCCUUGGUGGGGGGCGUGGGCGAAGUUCGUCCGCCGGACUCGGAAUGGCCCCAGACUUUGCGGGCGGCCUCCGUGUGCCAAAAAUAGGCCACGGGCACACCCGCGCCCAAAAUUCAGCCCCCGAAGGUCGGGGCGCCAAGACCCCCCAGCGGAAAAAUGGCCAAAAAACGGGUGGGCUAUAGCCUUGGUGGGGGGCGUGGGCAAAGUUCGUCCGCCGGACUCGCAAUGGCCCCAGACUUUGCGGGCGGCCUCCGUGUGCCAAAAAUAGGCCACGGGCACACCCGCGCCCAAAAUUCAGCCCCCGAAGGUCGGGGCGCCAAGACCCCCCAGCGGAAAAUUGGCCAAAAAACGGGUGGGCUAUAGCCUUGGUGGGCGGCGUGGGCGAAGUUCGUCCGCGGGACUCGGAAUGGCCCCAGACUUGGCGGGCGGCCUCCGUGUGCCAAAAAUAGGCCACGGGCACAGCCGCGCCCAGAAAUCAGCCCCCGAAGGUCGGGGUCCCAAGACCCCCCAGCGGAAAAAUUGCCAAAAAACGGGUGGGCUAUAGCCUUGGUGGGGGGCGUGGGCGAAAUUCGUCCGCCGGACUCGGAAUGGCCCCAGACUUGGCGGGCGGCCUCCGUGUGCGAAAAAUAGGCCACGGGCACAGGCGCACCCAAAAAUCAGCCGCCGAAGGUCGGGGUCCCAAGACCCCCCAGCGGAAAAAUGGCCAAAAAACGGGUGGGCUAUGGCCUUGGUGGGGGGCGUGGGCGAAGUUCGUCCGCCUGACUCGGAAUGGCCCCAGACUUGGCGGGCGGCCUCCGUGUGCCAAAAAUCGGCCACGGGCACAGCCGCGCCCAAAAAUCUGCCCCUGAAGUCGGGGUCCCAAGACCCCCCAGCGGAAAAAUGGCCAAAAAACGGGUGGGCUAUAGCCUUGGUGGGCGGCGUAGGCGAAGUUCGUCCGCGGGACUCAGAAUGGCCCCAGACUUGGCGGGCGCCCUCCGUGUGCCAAAAAUAGGCCACAGGCACAGCCGCGCCCAAAAAUCAGCCCCCGAAGGUCGGGGUCCCAAGACCCCCCAGCGGAAAAAUGGCCAAAAAACGGGUGGGCUAUAGCCUUGGUGGGGGGCGUGGGCGAAGUUCGUCCGCCGGACUCGGAAUGGCCCCAGACUUGGCGGGCGGCCUCCGUGUGCCAAAAAUAGGCCACGGGCACAGGCGCGCCCAAAAAUCAGCCCCCGAAGGUCGGGGUCCCAAGACCCCCCAACGGAAAAAUGGCCAAAAAACGGGUGGGCUAUAGUCUUGGUGGGGGGCGUGGGCGAAGUUCGUCCGCCGGACUCGGAAUGGCCUCAGACUUGGCGGGCGGCCUCCGUGUGCCAAAAGUAGGCCACGGGCACAGCCGCGCCCAAAAAUCAGCCCCCGAAGUUGGGGUCCCAAGACCCCCCAACGGAAAAAUGGCCAAAAAACGGGUGGGCUAUAGCCUUGGUGGGGGGCGUGGGCGAAGUUCGUCCGCCGGACUCGGAAUGGCCUCAGACUUGGCGGGCGGCCUCCGUGUGCCAAAAGUAGGCCACGGGAACAGCCGCGCCCAAAAAUCAGCCCCCGAAGUUGGGGUCCCAAGACCCCCCAGCGGAAAAAUGGCCAAAAAACGGGUGGGCUAUAGCCUUGGUGGGCGGCGUGGGCGAAGUUCGUCCGCGGGACUCAGAAUGGCCCCAGACUUGGCGAGCGGCCUCCGUGUGCCAAAAAUAGGCCACGGGCACAGCCGUGCCCAAAAAUCAGCCCCCGAAGGUCGGGGUCCCAAGACCCCCCAUUGGAAAAAUGGCCAAAAAAUGGGUGGGCUAUAGCCUUGGUGGGAGGCGUGGGCGAAGUUCGUCCGCCGGACUCGGAAUGGCCCCAGACUUGGCGGGCGGCCUCCGUGUGCCAAAAAUAGGCCACGGGCACAGGCGUGCCCAAAAAUCAGCCCCUGAAGGUCGGGGUCCCAAGACUCCCGAGCGGAAAAAUGGCCAAAAAACGGUUGGGCUAUAGCCUUGGUGGGGGGCGUGGGCGAAGUUCGUCCGCCGGACUCGGAAUGGCCCUAGACUUGGCGGGCGGCCUACGUGUGCCAAAAAUAGGCCACGGGCACAACCGCGCCCAAAAAUCAGCCCCCAAAGGUCGGGGUCCCAAGACCCCCCAGUAGAAAAAUGGCAAAAAAACGGGUGGGCUAUAGCCUUGGUGGGCGGCGUGGGCGAAGUUCGUCCGCGGGACUCGGAAUGGCACCAGACUUGGCGGGCGGCCUCCGUGUGCCAAAAAUAGGCCACGGGCACAGCGGCACCCAAAAAUCAGCCCCCGAAGGUCGGGGUCCCAAGACCCCCCAGCGGAAAAAUGGCCAAAAAACGGGUGGGCUAUAGCCUAUGUGGGGGGCGUGGGCGAAGUUCGUCCGCCAGACUCGGAAUGGCUCCAGACUUGGCGGGUGGCCUCCGUGUGCUAAAAAUAGGCCACGGGCACAGGCGCGCCCAAAAAUCAGCCCCCGAAGGUCGGGGUCCCAAGACCCCCCAACGGAAAAAUGGCCAAAAAACGGGUGGGCUAUAGCCUUGGUGGGGGGCGUGGGCGAAGUUUGUCCGCCGGACUCGGAAUGGCCUCAGACUUGGCGGGCGGCCUCCGUGUGCCAAAAGUAGGCCACGGGCACAGCCGCGCCCAAAAAUCAGCCCCCGAAGUUGGGGUCCCAAGACCCCCCAGCGGAAAAAAGGCCAAAAAACGGGUGGGCUAUAGCCUUGGUGGGCGGCGUGGGCGAAGUUCGUCCGCGGGACUCAGAAUGGCCCCAGACUUGGCGGGCGGCCUCCGUGUGCCAAAAAUAUGCCACGGGCACAGCCGCGCCCAAAAAUCAGCCCCCGAAGGUCGGGGUCCCAAGACCCCCCAGCGGAAAAAUGAGCAAAAAACGGGUGGGCUAUAGCCUUGGUUGGGGGCGUGGGCGAAGUUCGUCCGCCGGACUCGGAAUGGCCCCAGACUUGGCGGCCGGCCUCCGUGUGCCAAAAAUAGGCCACGGGCACAGGCGCGCCCAAAAAUCAGCCCCCGAAAGUCGGGGUCCCAAGACCCCCCAGCGGAAAAAUGGCCAAAAAACGGGUUGGCUAUAGCCUCGGUGGGGGGCGCGGGCGAAGUUCGUCCGCGGGACUCGGAAUGGCAGCAGACUUGGCGGGCGGCCUCCGUGUGCCAAAAAUAGGCCACGGGCACAGCCGCGCCCAAAAAUCAGCCCCCGAAGGUCGGGGUCCCAAGACCCCCCAGCGGAAAAAUGGCCAAAAAACGGGUGGGCUAUAGCCUUGGUGGGGGGCGUGGGGGAAGUUCGUCCCCCGGUCUCGGAAUGGCCCCAGACUUGGCGAGCGGCCUCCGUGUGCCAAAAAUAGGCCACGGGUACAGCCGUGCCCAAAAAUCAGCCCCCGAAGGUCGGGGUCCCAAGACCCCCAACCGGAAAAAUGGCCAAAAAACGGGUGGGCUAUAGCCUUGGUGGGGGGCGUGGGCGAAGUUCGUCCGCCGGACUCGGAAUGGCCCCUGACUUGGCGGACGGCCUCCGUGUGCCAAAAAUAGGCCACGGGCACAGGCGCGCCCAAAAAUCAGCCCCCGAAGGUCGGGGUGCCAAGACCCCCCAGCGGAAAAUGGCCAAAAAACGGGUGGGCUAUAGCCUUGGUGGGGGGCUUGGGCGAAGUUCGUCCGCCUGACUCGGAAUGGCCCCAGACUAGGCGGGCGGCCUCCGUGUGCCAAAAAUAGGCCACGGGCACAGCCGCGCCCAAAAAUCAGCCCCCGAAGGUCGGGGUCCCAAGACACCCCAGCGGAAAAAUGAGCAAAAAACGGGUGGGCUAUAGCCUUGGUGGGGGGCGUGGGCGAAGUUCGUCCGCCGGACUCGGAAUGGCCCCAGACUUGGCGGGCGGCCUCCGUGUGCCAAAAAUAGGCCACGGGCACAGGCGCGCCCAAAAAUCAGCACCCGAAAGUCGGGGUCCCAAGACCCCCCAGCGGAAAAAUGGCCAAAAAAUGGGUUGGCUAUAGCCUUGGUGGGGGGCGCGGGCGAAGUUCGUCCGCGGGACUCGGAAUGGCACCAGACUUGGCGGGCGGCCUCCGUGUGCCAAAAAUAGGCCACGGGCACAGCCGCGCCCAAAAAUCAGCCCACGAAAGUCGGGGUUCCAAGACCCCCCAGCGGAAAAAUGGCCAAAAAAUGGGUGGGCUAUAGCCUUGGUGGGGUGCGUGGGCGAAGUUCGUCUGCGGGACUCGGAAUGGCACCAGACUUGGCGGGCGGCCUCCGUGUGCCAAAAAUAGGCCACGGGCACAGCCGCGCCCAAAAAUCAGCCCCCGAAGGUCGGGGUCCCAAGACCCCCCAGCGGAAAAAUGAGCAAAAAACGGGUGGGCUAUAGCCUUGGUGGGGGGCGUGGGCGAAGUUCGUCCGCCGGACUCGGAAUGGCCCCAGACUUGGCGGCCGGCCUCCGUGUGCCAAAAAUAGGCCACGGGCACAGGCGCGCCCAAAAAUCAGCCCCCGAAAGUCGGGGUCCCAAGACCCCCCAGCGGAAAAAUGGCCAAAAAACGGGUUGGCUAUAGCCUUGGUGGGGGGCGCGGGCGAUGUUCGUCCGCGGGACUCGGAAUGGCACCAGACUUGGCGGGCGGCCUCCGUGUGCCAAAAAUAGGCCACGGGCACAGCCGCGCCCAAAAAUCAGCCCACGAAAGUCGGGGUUCCAAGACCCCCCAGCGGAAAAAUGGCCAAAAAAUGGGUGGGCUAUAGCCUUGGUGGGGUGCGUGGGCGAAGUUCGUCUGCGAGACUCGGAAUGGCACCAGACUUGGCGGGCGGCCUCCGUGUGCCAAAAAUAGGCCACGGGCACAGCCGCGCCCAAAAAUCAGCCCCCGAAGGUCGGGGUCCCAAGACCCCCCAGCGGAAAAAUGGCCAAAAAACGGGUGGGCUAUAGCCUUGGUGGGGGGCGUGGGGGAAGUUCGUCCCCCGGACUCGGAAUGGCCCCAGACUUGGCGGGCGGCCUCCGUGUGCCAAAAAUAGGCCACGGGUACAGCCGUGCCCAAAAAUCAGCCCCCGAAGGUCGGGGUCCCAAGACCCCCAACCGGAAAAAUGGCCAAAAAACGGGUGGGCUAUAGCCUUGGUGGGGGGCGUGGGCGAAGUUCGUCCGCCGGACUCGGAAUGGCCCCUGACUUGGCGGACGGCCUCCGUGUGCCAAAAAUAGGCCACGGGCACAGGCGCGCCCAAAAAUCAGCCCCCGAAGGUCGGGGUGCCAAGACCCCCCAGCGGAAAAUGGCCAAAAAACGGGUGGGCUAUAGCCUUGGUGGGGGGCUUGGGCGAAGUUCGUCCGCCUGACUCGGAAUGGCCCCAAACUAGGCGGGCGGCCUCCGUGUGCCAAAAAUAGGCCACGGGCACAGCCGCGCCCAAAAAUCAGCCCCCGAAGGUCGGGGUCCCAAGACACCCCAGCGGAAAAAUGAGCAAAAAACGGGUGGGCUAUAGCCUUGGUGGGGGGCGUGGGCGAAGUUCGUCCGCCGGACUCGGAAUGGCCCCAGACUUGGCGGGCGGCCUCCGUGUGCCAAAAAUAGGCCACGGGCACAGGCGCGCCCAAAAAUCAGCACCCGAAAGUCGGGGUCCCAAGACCCCCCAGCGGAAAAAUGGCCAAAAAACGGGUUGGCUAUAGCCUUGGUGGGGGGCGCGGGCGAAGUUCAUCCGCGGGACUCGGAAUGGCACCAGACUUGGCGGGCGGCCUCCGUGUGCCAAAAAUAGGCCACGGGCACAGCCGCGCCCAAAAAUCAGCCCACGAAAGUCGGGGUUCCAAGACCCCCCAGCGGAAAAAUGGCCAAAAAAUUGUUGGGCUAUAGCCUUGGUGGGGUGCGUGGGCGAAGUUCAUCUGCGGGACUCGGAAUGGCACCAGACUUGGCGGGCGGCCUCCGUGUGCCAAAAAUAGGCCACGGGCACAGCCGCGCCCAAAAAUCAGCCCCCGAAGGUCGGGGUCCCAAGACACCCCAGCGGAAAAAUGAGCAAAAAACGGGUGGGCUAUAGCCUUGGUGGGGGGCGUGGGCGAAGUUCGUCCGCCGGACUCGGAAUGGCCCCAGACUUGGCGGCCGGCCUCCGUGUGCCAAAAAUAGGCCACGGGCACAGGCGCGCCCAAAAAUCAGCACCCGAAAGUCGGGGUCCCAAGACCCCCCAGCGGAAAAAUGGCCAAAAAACGGGUUGGCUAUAGCCUUGGUGGGGGGCGCGGGCGAAGUUCGUCCGCGGGACUCGGAAUGGCACCAGACUUGGCGGGCGGCCUCCGUGUGCCAAAAAUAGGCCACGGGCACAGCCGCGCCCAAAAAUCAGCCCACGAAAGUCGGGGUUCCAAGACCCCCCAGCGGAAAAAUGGCCAAAAAAUGGGUGGGCUAUAGCCUUGGUGGGGUGCGUGGGCGAAGUUCGUCUGCGGGACUCGGAAUGGCACCAGACUUGGCGGGCGGCCUCCGUGUGCCAAAAAUAGGCCACGGGCACAGCCGCGCCCAAAAAUCAGCCCCCGAAGUUGGGGUCCCAAGACCCCCCAGCGGAAAAAUGGCCAAAAAACGGGUGGGCUAUAGCCUUGGUGGGCGGCGUGGGCGAAGUUCGUCCGCGGGACUCGGAAUGGCCCCAGACUUGGCGGGCGGCCUCCGUGUGCCAAAAAUAGGCCACGGGCACAGCCGCGCCCAGAAAUCAGCCCCCGAAGGUCGGGGUCCCAAGACCCCCCAGCGGAAAAAUUGCCAAAAAACGGGUGGGCUAUAGCCUUGGUGGGGGGCGUGGGCGAAGUUCAUCCGCCGGACUCGGAAUGGCCCCAGACUUGGCGGGCGGACUCCGUGUGCCAAAAAUAGGCCACGGGCACAGGCGCACCCAAAAAUCAGCCGCCGAAGGUCGGGGUCCCAAGACCCCCCAGCGGAAAAAUGGCCAAAAAACGGGUGGGCUAUGGCCUUGGUGGGGGGCGUGGGCGAAGUUCGUCCGCCUGACUCGGAAUGGCCCCAGACUUGGCGGGCGGCCUCCGUGUGCCAAAAAUCGGCCACGGGCACAGCCGCGCCCAAAAAUCUGCCCCCGAAGUCGGGGUCCCAAGACCCCCCAGCGGAAAAAUGGCCAAAAAACGGGUGGGCUAUAGCCUUGGUGGGCGGCGUAGGCGAAGUUCGUCCGCGGGACUCAGAAUGGCCCCAGACUUGGCGGGCGCCCUCCGUGUGCCAAAAAUAGGCCACAGGCACAGCCGCGCCCAAAAAUCAGCCCCCGAAGGUCGGGGUCCCAAGACCCCCCAGCGGAAAAAUGGCCAAAAAACGGGUGGGCUAUAGCCUUGGUGGGGGGCGUGGGCGAAGUUCGUCCGCCGGACUCGGAAUGGCCCCAGACUUGGCGGGCGGCCUCCGUGUGCCAAAAAUAGGCCACGGGCACAGGCGCGCCCAACAAUCAGCCCCCGAAGGUCGGGGUCCCAAGACCCCCCAACGGAAAAAUGGCCAAAAAACGGGUGGGCUAUAGUCUUGGUGGGGGGCGUGGGCGAAGUUCGUCCGCCGGACUCGGAAUGGCCUCAGACUUGGCGGGCGGCCUCCGUGUGCCAAAAGUAGGCCACGGGCACAGCCGCGCCCAAAAAUCAGCCCCCGAAGUUGGGGUCCCAAGACCCCCCAACGGAAAAAUGGCCAAAAAACGGGUGGGCUAUAGCCUUGGUGGGGGGCGUGGGCGAAGUUCGUCCGCCGGACUCGGAAUGGCCUCAGACUUGGCGGGCGGCCUCCGUGUGCCAAAAGUAGGCCACGGGAACAGCCGCGCCCAAAAAUCAGCCCCCGAAGUUGGGGUCCCAAGACCCCCCAGCGGAAAAAUGGCCAAAAAACGGGUGGGCUAUAGCCUUGGUGGGCGGCGUGGGCGAAGUUCGUCCGCGGGACUUAGAAUGGCCCCAGACUUGGCGCGCGGCCUCCGUGUGCCAAAAAUAGGCCACGGGCACAGCCGCGCCCAAAAAUCAGCCCCCGAAGGUCGGGGUCCCAAGACCCCCCAUUGGAAAAAUGGCCAAAAAAUGGGUGGGCUAUAGCCUUGGUGGGAGGCGUGGGCGAAGUUCGUCCGCCGGACUCGGAAUGGCCCCAGACUUGGCGGGCGGCCUCCGUGUGCCAAAAAUAGGCCACGGGCACAGGCGUGCCCAAAAAUCAGCCCCUGAAGGUCGGGGUCCCAAGACUCCCGAGCGGAAAAAUGGCCAAAAAACGGUUGGGCUAUAGCCUUGGUGGGGGGCGUGGGCGAAGUUCGUCCGCCGGACUCGGAAUGGCCCUAGACUUGGCGGGCGGCCUACGUGUGCCAAAAAUAGGCCACGGGCACAACCGCGCCCAAAAAUCAGCCCCCGAAGGUCGGGGUCCCAAGACCCCCCAGUAGAAAAAUGGCAAAAAAACGGGUGGGCUAUAGCCUUGGUGGGCGGCGUGGGCGAAGUUCGUCCGCGGGACUCGGAAUGGCACCCGACUUGGCGGGCGGCCUCCGUGUGCCAAAAAUAGGCCACGGGCACAGCGGCACCCAAAAAUCAGCCCCCGAAGGUCGGGGUCCAAAGACCCCCCAGCGGAAAAAUGGCCAAAAAACGGGUGGGCUAUAGCCUAUGUGGGGGGCGUGGGCGAAGUUCGUCCGCCAGACUCGGAAUGGCUCCAGACUUGGCGGGUGGCCUCCGUGUGCUAAAAAUAGGCCACGGGCACAGGCGCGCCCAAAAAUCAGCCCCCGAAGGUCGGGGUCCCAAGACCCCCCAGCGGAAAAAUGGCCAAAAAACGGGUGGGCUAUAGCCUUGGUGGGCGGCGUGGGCGAAGUUCGUCCGCGGGACUCAGAAUGGCCCCACACUUGGCGGGCGGCCUCCGUGUGCCAAAAAUAGGCCACGGGCACAGCCACGCCCAAAAAUCAGCCCCCGAAGGUCGGGGUCCCAAGACCCCCCAUUGGAAAAAUGGCCAAAAAAUGGGUGGGCUAUAGCCUUGGUGGGAGGCGUAGGCGAAGUUCGUCCGCCGGACUCGGAAUGGCCCCAGACUUGGCGGGCGGCCUCCGUGUGCCAAAAAUAGGCCACGGGCACAGCGGCACCCAAAAAUCAGCCCCCGAAGGUCGGGGUCCCAAGACCCCCCAGCGGAAAAAUGGCCAAAAAACGGGUGGGCUAUAGCCUAUGUGGGGGGCGUGGGCGAAGUUCGUCCGCCAGACUCGGAAUGGCUCCAGACUUGGCGGGCGGCCUCCGUGUACUAAAAAUAGGCCACGGGCACAGGCGCGCCCAAAAAUCAGCCCCCGAAGGUCGGGGUCCCAAGACCCCCCAACGGAAAAAUGGCCAAAAAACGGGUGGGCUAUAGCCUUGGUGGGGGGCGUGGGCGAAGUUCGUCCGCCGGACUCGGAAUGGCCUCAGACUUGGCGGGCGGCCUCCGUGUGCCAAAAGUAGGCCACGGGCACAGCCGCGCCCAAAAAUCAGCCCCCGAAGUUGGGGUCCCAAGACCCCCCAGCGGAAAAAUGGCCAAAAAACGGGUGGGCUAUAGGCUUGGUGGGCGGCGUGGGCGAAGUUCGUCCGCGGGACUCAGAAUGGCCCCAGACUUGGCGGGCGGCCUCCGUGUGCCAAAAAUAGGCCACGGGCACAGCCGCGCCCAAAAAUCAGCCCCCGAAGGUCGGGGUUCCAAGACCCCCCAGCGGAAAAAUGGCCAAAAAAUGGGUGGUCUAUAGCCUUGGUGGGGGGUGUGGGCGAAGUUCGUCCGCGGGACUCGGAAUGGCACCAGACUUGGCGGGCAGCCUCCGUGUGCCAAAAAUAGGCCACGGGCACAGCCGCGCUCAAAAAUCAGCCCCCGAAGGUCGGGGUCCCAAGACCCCCCAGCGGAAAAAUGGCCAAAAAAUGGGUGGGUUAUUGCCUUGGUGGGCGGCGUGGGUGAAGUUCGAACGCCGGACUCGGAAUGGCCCCAGACUUGGCGGGCGGCCUCCGUGUGCCAAAAAUUGGCCACGGGCACAGCCGCGCCCAAAAAUCAGCCCCCGAAGGUCGGGGUCCCAAGACCCCCCAUUGGAAAAAUGGCCAAAAAAUGGGUGGGCUAUAGCCUUGGUGGGAGGCGUGGGCGAAGUUCGUCCGCCGGACUCGGAAUGGCCCCAGACUUGGCGGGCGGCCUCCGUGUGCCAAAAAUAGGCCACGGGCACAGGCGCGCCCAAAAAUCAGCCCCCGAAGGUCGGGGUCCCAAGACCCCCCAACGGAAAAAUGGCCAAAAAACGGGUGGGCUAUAGCCUUGGUGGGGGGCGUGGGCGAAGUUCGUCCGCCGGACUCGGAAUGGCCUCAGACUUGGCGGGCGGCCUCCGUGUGCCAAAAGUAGGCCACGGGCACAGCCGCGCCCAAAAAUCAGCCCCCGAAGGUUGGGGUCCCAAGACCCCCCAGCGUAAAAAUGGCCAAAAAAAGGGUGGGCUAUAGCCUUGGUGGGGGGCGUGGGCGAAGUUCGUCCGCGGGACUCGGAAUGGCCCCAGACUUGGCGGGCGGCCUCCGUGUGCAAAAAAUAGGCCACGGGCACAGGCGCGCCCAAAAAUCAGCCCCCGAAGGUCGGGGUCCCAAGACCCCCCAGCGGAAAAAUGGCCAAAAAACGGGUGGGCUAUAGCCUAUGUGGGGGUCGUGGGCGAAGUUCGUCCGCCGGACUCGGAAUGGCCCCAGACUUGGUGGGCGGCCUCCGUGUGCCCAAAAUAGACCACGGACACAGCCGCGCCCAAAAAUCAGCGACCGAAGGUCGGGGUCCCAAGACCCCCCAGCAGAAAAAUGGCCAAAAAACGGGUGGGCUAUAGCCUUGGUGGGGGGCGUGGGCGAAGUUCGUCCGCGGGACUCGGAAUGACACCAGACUUGGCGGGCGGCCUCCGUGUGCCAAAAAUAGGCCACGGGCACAGCCGCGCCCAAAAAUCAGCCCCCGAAGGUCGGGAUCCCAAGACCCCCCAGCGGAAAAAUGGCCAAAAAAUGGGUGGGUUAUAGCCUUGGUGGGCGGCGUGGGCGAAGUUUCUCCGCGGGACUCAGAAUGGCCCCAGACUUGGCGGGCGGCCUCCGUGUACAAAAAAUAGGACACGGGCACAGCCGUGCCCAAAAAUCAGCCCCCGAAGGUCGGGGUCCCAAUACCCCCCAGUGGAAAAAUGGCCAAAAAACGGGUGGGCUAUAGCCUUGGUGGGGGGCGUGGGCGAAGUUCGUCCGCCGGACUCGGAAUGGCCCCAGACUUGGCGGGCGGCCUNNNNNNNNNNNNNNNNNNNNNNNNNNNNNNNNNNNNNNNNNNNNNNNNNNNNNNNNNNNNNNNNNNNNNNNNNNNNNNNNNNNNNNNNNNNNNNNNNNNNNNNNNNNNNNNNNNNNNNNNNNNNNNNNNNNNNNNNNNNNNNNNNNNNNNNNNNNNNNNNNNNNNNNNNNNNNNNNNNNNNNNNNNNNNNNNNNNNNNNNNNNNNNNNNNNNNNNNNNNNNNNNNNNNNNNNNNNNNNNNNNNNNNNNNNNNNNNNNNNNNNNNNNNNNNNNNNNNNNNNNNNNNNNNNNNNNNNNNNNNNNNNNNNNNNNNNNNNNNNNNNNNNNNNNNNNNNNNNNNNNNNNNNNNNNNNNNNNNNNNNNNNNNNNNNNNNNNNNNNNNNNNNNNNNNNNNNNNNNNNNNAUCAGGCCCCGAAGUUCGGGGUCCCAAGACCCCCCAGCGGAAAAAUGGCCAAAAAACGGGUGGGCUAUAGCCUAUGUGGGGGGCGUGGGCGAAGUUCGUUCGCCGGACUCGGAAUGGCCCCAGACUUGGUGGGCGGACUCCGUGUGCCAAAAAUAUGCCUCUGGCACAGCCGCUCCCAAAAAUCAGCCCCCGAAGGUCGGGGUCCCAAGACCCCCCAGCGGAAAAAUGGCCAAAAAACGGGUGGGCUAUAGCCUUGGCGGGGGGCGUGGGCGAAGUUCGUCCGCCGGACUCGGAAUGGCACCAGACUUGGCGGGCGGCCUCCGUGUGCCAAAAAUAGGCCACGGGCACAGCCGCGCCCAAAAAUCAGCCCCCGAAGGUCGGGGUCCCAAGACCCCCCAGCGGAAAAAUGGCCAAAAAAUGGGUGGGUUAUAGCCUUGGUGGGCGGCGUGGGUGAUGUUCGUCCGCGGGACUCAGAAUUGCCCCAGACUUGGCGGGCGGCCUCCGUGUGUCAAAAAUAGGACACGGGCACAGCCUUGCCCAAAAAUCAGCCCCCGAAGGUCGGGGUCCCAAGACCCCCCAGCGGAAAAAUGGCCAAAAAACGGGUGGGCUAUAGCCUUGGUGGGGGGCGUGGGCGAAGUUCGUCCGCCGGACUCGGAAUAGCCCCAGGCUUGGCGGGCGGCCUCCGUGUGCCAAAAAUAGGCCACGGGCACAGGCGCGCCCAAAAAUCAGCCCCCGAAGGUCGGGGUCCCAAUACCCCCCAGCGGAAAAAUGGCCAAAAAACGGGUGGGCUAUAGCCUUGGUGGGGGGCGUGGGCGAAGUUCGUCCGCCGGACUCGGAAUGGCCCCAGACUUGGCGGGCGGCCUCCGUGUGCCAAAAAUAGGCCACGGGCACAGCCGCGCCCAAAAAUCAGCCCCCGAAGGUCGGGGUCCCAAGACCCCCCAGCGGAAAAAUGGCCAAGAAAUGGGUGGGCUAUAGCCUUGGUGGGGGGCGUGGGCGAAGUUCGUCCGCGGGACUCGGAAUGGCCCCAGACUUGGCGGGCGGCCUCCGUGUGCCAAAAAUAGGCCACGGGCACAGCCGCGCCCAAAAAUAAGCCCCCGAAGGUCGGGGUCCCAAGACCCCCCAGCGGAAAAAAGGCCAAGAAACGCGUGGGCUAUAGCCUUGGUGGGGGGCGUGGGCGAAGUUCGUCCGCGGGACUCGGAAUGGCCCCAGACUUGGCGGGCGGCCUCCGUGUGCCAAAAAUAGGCCACGGGCACAGCCGCGCCCAAAAAUCAGCCCCCGAAGGUCGGGGUCCCAAGACCCCCCAGCGGAAAAAUGGCCAAGAAACGGGUGGGCUAUAGCCUUGGUGGGGGGCGUGGGCGAAGUUCGUCCGCGGGACUCGGAAUGGCCCCAGACUUGGCGGGCGGCCUCCGUGUGCCAAAAAUAGGCCACGGGCACAGCCGCGCCCAAAAAUCAGCCCCCGAAGGUCGGGGUCCCAAGACCCCCCAGCGGAAAAAAGGCCAAGAAACGCGUGGGCUAUAGCCUUGGUGGGGGGCGUGGGCGAAGUUCGUCCGCGGGACUCGGAAUGGCCCCAGACUUGGCGGGCGGCCUCCGUGUGCCAAAAAUAGGCCACGGGCACAGCCGCGCCCAAAAAUCAGCCCCCGAAGGUCGGGGUCCCAAGACCCCCCAGCGGAAAAAUGGCCAAAAAACGGGUGGGCUAUAGCCUUGGUGGGGGCCGUGGGCGAAGUUCGUCCGCGGGACUCGGAAUGGCCCCAGACUUGGCGGGCAGCCUCCGUGUGCCAAAAAUAGGCCACGGGCACAGCCGCGCCCAAAAAUCAGCCCCCGAAGGUCGGGGUCACAAGACCCCCCAGCGGAAAAAUGGCCAAGAAACGGGUGGGCUAUAGCCUUGGUGGGGGGCGUGGGCGAAGUUCAUCCGCGGGACUCGGAAUGGCCCCAGACUUGGCGGGCGGCCUCCGUGUGCCAAAAAUAGGCCACGGGCACAGCCGCGCCCAAAAAUCAGCCCCCGAAGGUCGGGGUCCCAAGACCCCCCAGCGGAAAAAUGGCCAAGAAACGGGUGGGCUAUAGCCUUGGUGGGGGGCGUGGGCGAAGUUCGUCCGCGGGACUCGGAAUGGCCCCAGUCUUGGCGGGCGGCCUCCGUGUGCCAAAAAUAGGCCACGGGCACAGCCGCGCCCAAAAAUCAGCCCCCGAAGGUCGGGGUCACAAGACCCCCCAGCGGAAAAAAGGCCAAGAAACGCGUGGGCUAUAGCCUUGGUGGGGGGCGUGGGCGAAGUUCGUCCGCGGGACUCGGAAUGGCCCCAGACUUGGCGGGCGGCCUCCGUGUGCCAAAAAUAGGCCACGGGCACAGCCGCGCCCAAAAAUCAGCCCCCGAAGGUCGGGGUCACAAGACCCCCCAGCGGAAAAAAGGCCAAGAAACGCGUGGGCUAUAGCCUUGGUGGGGGGCGUGGGCGAAGUUCGUCCGCGGGACUCGGAAUGGUACCAUACUUGGCGGGCGGCCUCCGUGUGCCAAAAAUAGGCCACGGGCACAGCCGCGCCCAAAAAUCAGCCCCCGAAGGUCGGGGUCACAAGACCCCCCAGCGGAAAAAAGGCCAAGAAACGCGUGGGCUAUAGCCUUGGUGGGGGGCGUGGGCGAAGUUCGUCCGCGGGACUCGGAAUGGCCCCAGACUUGGCGGGCGGCCGCCGUGUGCCAAAAAUAGGCCACGGGCACAGCCGCGCCCAAAAAUCAGCCCCCGAAGGUCGGGGUCCCAAGACCCCCCAGCGGAAAAAUGGCCAAAAAACGGGUGGGCUAUAGCCUUGGUGGGGGGCGUGGGCGAAGUUCGUCCGCGGGACUCGGAAUGGCCCCAGACUUGGCGGGCGGCCUCCGUGUGCCAAAAAUAGGCCACGGGCACAGCCGCGCCCAAAAAUCAGCCCCCGAAGGUCGGGGUCCCAAGACCCCCCAGCGGAAAAAUGGCCAAGAAACGCGUGGGCUAUAGCCUUGGUGGGGGGCGUGGGCGAAGUUCGUCCGCGGGACUCGGAAUGGCCCCAGACUUGGCGGGCGGCCUCCGUGUGCCAAAAAUAGGACACGGGCACAGCCGCGCCCAAAAAUCAGCCCCCGAAGGUCGGGGUCCCAAGACCCCCCAGCGGAAAAAUGGCCAAGAAACGGGUGGGCUAUAGCCUUGGUGGGAGGCGUGGGCGAAGUUCGUCCGCGGGACUCGGAAUGGCCCCAGACUUGGCGGGCGGCCUCCGUGUGCCAAAAAUAGGCCACGGGCACUGCCGCGCCCAAAAAUCAGCCCCCGAAGGUCGGGGUCCCAAGACCCCCCAGCGGAAAAAAGGCCAAGAAACGCGUGGGCUAUAGCCUUGGUUGGGGGCGUGGGCGAAGUUCGUCCGCGGGACUCGGAAUGGCCCCAGACUUGGCGGGCGGCCUCCGUGUGCCAAAAAUAGGCCACGGGCACAGCCGCGCCCAAAAAUCAGCCCCCGAAGGUCGGGGUCCCAUGACCCCCCAGCGGAAAAAUGGCCAAAAAAUGGGUGGGUUAUAGCCUUGGUGGGCAGCGUGGGCGAAGUUCGUCCGCGGGACUCAGAAUGGCCCCAGACUUGGCGGGCGGCCUCCGUGUACCAAAAAUAGGACACGGGCACAGCCGCGCCCAAAAAUCAGCCCCCGAAGGUUGG